rnacentral:rRNA from 1 species
UAAGCAUAUCAAUAAGCGGAGGAAAAGAAACCAACAGGGAUUGCCCCAGUAACGGCGAGUGAAGCGGCAACAGCUCAAAUUUGAAAUCUGGUCCCUAGGGCCCGAGUUGUAAUUUGUAGAGGAUGCUUUUGGUGAGGUGCCGCCCGAGUUCCCUGGAACGGGACGCCACAGAGGGUGAGAGCCCCGUCUGGCUGGCCGCCGAGCCUCUGUAAAGCUCCUUCGACGAGUCGAGUAGUUUGGGAAUGCUGCUCAAAAUGGGAGGUAUAUGUCUUCUAAAGCUAAAUAUUGGCCAGAGACCGAUAGCGCACAAGUAGAGUGAUCGAAAGAUGAAAAGCACCUUGAAAAGAGGGUUAAAUAGUACGUGAAAUUGUUGAAAGGGAAGCGCUUGUGACCAGACUUGGGCGCGGCGGAUCAUCCGGGGUUCUCUCCGGUGCACUUCGCCGCGUCUAGGCCAGCAUCAGUUCGUCGCGGGGGAAAAAGGCUUCGGGAACGUGGCUCCUCCGGGAGUGUUAUAGCCCGUUGCAUAAUACCCUGCGGUGGACUGAGGACCGCGCAUCUGCAAGGAUGCUGGCGUAAUGGUCACCAGCGACC